rnacentral:rRNA from 1 species
GAUGAACGCUAGCGGCAGGCCUAAUACAUGCAAGUCGAGCGGCAAGUCGAGGAGUAAUCUGAGACCUAGAGCGGCGUACGGGUGCGUAACGCGUAUGCAACCUACCUCAUACAGGGGGAUAGCCCGGAGAAAUCUGGAUUAAUACCCCAUAGCACAGCACAAGGGCAUCUGCGAGCUGUUAAAGAUUCAUCGGUAUGAGAUGGGCAUGCGUCUGAUUAGCUAGUUGGCGGUGUAACGGACCACCAAGGCGACGAUCAGUAGGGGUUCUGAGAGGAAGGUCCCCCACACUGGCACUGAGAUACGGGCCAGACUCCUACGGGAGGCAGCAGUAGGGAAUAUUGGGCAAUGGACGGGAGUCUGACCCAGCCAUGCCGCGUGCAGGAAGAAGGCCUUCUGGGUUGUAAACUGCUUUUAUCUGGGAAGAAAAGGCCAAUGCGUGGGACAUUGCCGGUACCAGAUGAAUAGGCACCGGCUAACUCCGUGCCAGCAGCCGCGGUAA